rnacentral:rRNA from 1 species
CCUACGGGGUGCAGCAGUGGGGAAUAUUGGGCAAUGGGCGCAAGCCUGACCCAGCAACGCCGCGUGAAGGAAGAAGGCUCUCGGGUUGUAAACCUCUUUUAAGAGGGAAGAGCAGAAGACGGUACCUCUUGAAUAAGCCACGGCUAACUACGUGCCAGCAGCCGCGGUAAUACGUAGGUGGCAAGCGUUGUCCGGAUUUACUGGGUGUAAAGGGCGUGCAGCCGGGAAGACAAGUCAGAUGUGAAAUCUCGCGGCUCAACCGCGGAACUGCAUUUGAAACUGUUUUUCUUGAGUACCGGAGAGGUCAUCGGAAUUCCUUGUGUAGCAGUGAAAUGCGUAGAUAUAAGGAAGAACACCAGUGGCGAAGGCAGAUGACUGGACGGCAACUGACGGUGAGGCGCGAAAGCGUGGGGAGCAAACAGGAUUAGAUACCCCAGUAGUC